GGGUCUUUAGCUCAGUUGGUUAGAGCCCUCCGCUCAUAACGGAGUGGUCGCGUGUUCGAGUCACGCAGGACCCACCA
rnacentral:tRNA from 3 species